rnacentral:rRNA from 1 species
UACGUAGGUGGCGAGCGAUACUCGGAAUCACUAGGCGUAAAGCGCAGGUAGGCGGUUUGAUAAGUCUCUUGUGAAAGCUCCCGGCUUAACUGGGAGAGGUCAAGGGAAACUGUCAGGCUAGAGUGUGGCAGAGGAGCUAGAAUUCCCGGUGUAGCGGUGAAAUGCGCAGAUAUCGGGAAGAACACCCGUGGCGAAGGCGGCUCUCUGGGACGGUACUGACGCUGAGACGCGAAAGCUAGGGGAGCAAACAGG